AUUGAACGCUGGCGGCAGGCUUAACACAUGCAAGUCGAGCGGGGUGAUGGUGCUUGCACUAUCACUUAGCGGCGGACGGGUGAGUAAUGCUUAGGAAUCUGCCUAUUAGUGGGGGACAACAUCUCGAAAGGGAUGCUAAUACCGCAUACGUCCUACGGGAGAAAGCAGGGGAUCACUUGUGACCUUGCGCUAAUAGAUGAGCCUAAGUCGGAUUAGCUAGUUGGUGGGGUAAAGGCCUACCAAGGCGACGAUCUGUAGCGGGUCUGAGAGGAUGAUCCGGCACACUGGGACUGGGACACGGCCCAGACUCCUACGGGAGGCAGCAGUGGGGGAUAUUGGACAAUGGGGGGAACCGUGAUCCAGCCAUGCCGCGUGUGUGAAGAAGGCCUUAUGGUUGUAAAGCACUUUAAGCGAGGAGGAGGCUCUUUUGGUCAAUACCCAAGAUGAGUGGACGUUACCCGCAGAAUAAGCACCGGCUAACUCUGUGCCAGCCGCCGCAGUAA
rnacentral:rRNA from 1 species